rnacentral:rRNA from 1 species
UAGGGAAUAUUGCACAAUGGAGGAAACUCUGAUGCAGCGACGCCGCGUGAGUGAUGAAGGCCUUCGGGUCGUAAAGCUCUGUCGUAUGGGACUAACACAACGAAGGUACCAUGCAAGAAAGGAUCGGCUAACUUCGUGCCAGCAGCCGCGGUAAGACGAGGGAUCCUAGCGUUGUUCGGAAUUAUUGGGCGUAAAGCGGGUGUAGGUGGACUUAUAAGUCAGGUGUGAAAUCCCAGGGCUCAACCCUGGAAGUGCACUUGAUACUGCAAGUCUUGAGUGUGGUAGAGGCUAUUAGAAUUCUUGGUGUAGUGGUGAAAUACGUAGAUAUCAAGAGGAAUACCGGAGGCGAAGGCGGAUAGCUGGGCCAACACUGACACUGAGACCCGAAAGCGUGGGGAUCAAACAGGAUUAGAUACCCCAGUAGUCCCUGAGCGGGCUGGCAAGGCGCAU